CGCGGCCUAUCAGCUUGUUGGUGAGGUAACGGCUCACCAAGGCAUCGACGGGUAGCUGGUCUGAGAGGACGAUCAGCCACACUGGGACUGAGACACGGCCCAGACUCCUACGGGAGGCAGCAGUAGGGAAUCUUGCGCAAUGGGCGAAAGCCUGACGCAGCAACGCCGCGUGGGGGAUGAAUGCCUUCGGGUUGUAAACCCCUUUCAGCAGGGACGAAAAUGACGGUACCUGCAGAAGAAGCUCCGGCCAACUACGUGCCAGCAGCCGCGGUAAUACGUAGGGAGCGAGCGUUGUCCGGAAUUAUUGGGCGUAAAGAGCUCGUAGGCGGUUCAGUAAGUCGGGUGUGAAAACUCAAGGCUCAACCUUGAGACGCCACUCGAUACUGCUGUGACUUGAGUCCGGUAGAGGAGUGUGGAAUUCCUGGUGUAGCGGUGAAAUGCGCAGAUAUCAGGAGGAACACCAGCGGCGAAGGCGGCACUCUGGGCCGGUACUGACGCUGAGGAGCGAAAGCAAGGGGAGCAAACAGGAUUAGAUACCCUGGUAGUCCAUGCCGUAAACGUUGGGCACUAGGUAUGGGAUCAUAUCAACGGAUUCCGUGCCGUAGCUAACGCAUUAAGUGCCCCGCCUGGGGAGUACGG
rnacentral:rRNA from 1 species